AUAUGUUUAGCCCAAGACUAUUAUAAAACAGCAUCUGGAAGUUUCUAUAAUCCUAAAACCUAAAAAGUUCUGGAGUCUCUCUCCCAUCGUUAUUUGCCUUCUCUUUUCUCACAACUUUUUUCCGGAGAUUUUCUGGUUCACGUUCCAAGAGGAGAUUAAAUAAUCAAAGGAGCAAAUGAAGAUAUCGGAGUCAUCUGGGAAAAAGGAAGAGUUCAAUGAAGAGAUUGUGGAGAUACAAGAGAAACAAAGGAAGUGUAAAGAAAGGAUUGAAGAACUGAUAGAAGAUAGGAAAAUCAUUGAAAAAUUACAAAAAGACAAAUUAGAGUUAAUGAAAGAGGAAGUAGAGUUAAUGAAAGAGGAAGUAGAGAUAAUGAAAGAGAUGAUGAAAAACACAGCAGAGAUAAUGGAGAAACAACUCAAAGUAAUUGUAUAUGAAGAUGAAAUUGAAAGUAUGCUGCUAAAACUACUUUUUCUGUGGUGGGAUAAGAAGAAGCUUUGAAGGAGGGAUUCGUGCAUGGGAAGAUAUUUAUUUGAAUGUUGUGAAUUAUCGAAUUACAUCUUGAUGAAUAAUUUAUCAAGGUCCAAUCUAGUUUUCUUUCAUUGAAUUGAAUGAUUUAUCACUUAAAUUUUUUCUCUAA